rnacentral:rRNA from 1 species
AUGGCGCAGCUGACGUCACCAUCCUCUUCAUUCAGGACAUCCACGGUAGACACCACGCAGCAGAUCCUACGGACCUUCGUGCUCACCGCCGACAGGAUCCGGUCCCUGAAGCAGAAGUGCAUUCUGCAAAAUGGAACUGCCGGCAGCCAGCCGCCGACCAGCACCUACGUCGCCGUCUCGUCCCUAGUAUGGGCGUCCCUUGUCCGCGCCAAGUCCACGGACGAGGACCACGCGGAGGACGCCCACUUCACGGUGGUAGCGUGUAAGGAUGGACUGAUGUUGGUUACGGCCGAACCUGGACUGCAGGCGUGCUUUGCGAGGGUGAACAUUGGCGACUUGUGCGGCGAGGGUGGGGUUGCGCUCGCCGCCAGGGCCAUCCAGGAAUGCAUCCGGGAGGACCUGGAUCGAGCCUCCGACCCGCUGGAGGGGAUGGAUCGCGUGCUGGAGGUCGUCCACGGCACCCCCAAGGAGCGGCUGACCUCGGUGGGGUCGUCGCAUCGGUUCAUGGCGUACGAGACGGACUUCGGGUGGGGCGCCCCGAGCCGCGUCGAGCUGGUGUCCAGGUUCACGCCGGAGCUGGUGACGCUGCUCGGAGCAAAGGAGGCCGGCGCCGUGCAACUCUCCGUGGCGCUUCGCCGGCCCUUGAUGGAGGCAUUCGCGGCCAACUUCCUUACGCUGGCCGGGAGCAGCUAG